AGCAGCCGCGGUAAUUCCAGCUCCAAUAGCGUAUAUUAAAGUUGUUGCAGUUAAAAAGCUCGUAGUUGAAUUUCGGGAUCAAUAUGUUGGUCGUGCCUCGGUACGUACUAGCAUAUUGGUUUCUCCUUUCUGAAGAACCAUGAUGUCAUUUAUUUGGUGUUGUGGGGAAUCAGGACUGUUACUUUAGAAAAAUUAGAGUGUUUAAAGCAGGCUCACGCUUGAAUACAUUAGCAUGGAAUAAUGAAAUAGGACGUUUGAUUCUAUUUUGUUGGUUUCUAGGAUCGACGUAAUGAUUAAUAGGGAUAGUUGGGGGCAUUAGUAUUCAAUUGUCAGAGGUGAAAUUCUUGGAUUUAUUGAAGACUAACUACUGCGAAAGCAUUUGCCAGGGAUGUUUUCAUUAAUCAAGAACGAAAGUUAGGGGAUCGAAGACGAUCAGAUACCGUCGUAGUCUUAACCAUAAACUAUGCCGACUAGGGAUCGGAUGAUGUUAAUUUUUAAUGACUCAUUCGGCUACCG
rnacentral:misc_RNA from 1 species